rnacentral:rRNA from 1 species
UACGAAGGGGGCUAGCGUUGUUCGGAAUUACUGGGCGUAAAGCGCACGUAGGCGGAUAUUUAAGUCAGGGGUGAAAUCCCGGGGCUCAACCCCGGAACUGCCUUUGAUACUGGGUAUCUCGAGUCCGAGAGAGGUGAGUGGAAUUCCGAGUGUAGAGGUGAAAUUCGUAGAUAUUCGGAAGAACACCAGUGGCGAAGGCGGCUCACUGGUCCGGUACUGACGCUGAGGUGCGAAAGCGUGGGGAGCAAACAGG